AGAGUUUGAUCCUGGCUCAGGACGAACGCUGGCGGCGUGCCUAACACAUGCAAGUCGAGCGGAGACAGUGAGUAGCUUGCUAUGAGCUGUUUUAGCGGCGGACGGGUGAGUAACGCGUGAGCAACCUUUCCCAGACAGGGGAAUAACACACCGAAAGGUGUACUAAUACCGCAUAAGACCACGGUUUCACAUGGAACUGAGGUAAAAGAUUUAUCGGUUUGGGGUGGGCUCGCGUCCGAUUAGGUAGUUGGUGAGGUAACGGCCCACCAAGCCGACGAUCGGUAGCCGACCUGAGAGGGUGAUCGGCCACAUUGGGACUGAGACACGGCCCAAACUCCUACGGGAGGCAGCAGUGGGGAAUAUUGCACAAUGGGGGAAACCCUGAUGCAGCGACGCCGCGUGAAGGAAGAAGUAUCUCGGUAUGUAAACUUCUAUCAGCAGGGAAGAUAAUGACGGUACCUGACUAAGAAGCCCCGGCUAACUACGUGCCAGCAGCCGCGGUAAUACGUAGGGGGCAAGCGUUAUCCGGAUUUACUGGGUGUAAAGGGAGCGUAGACGGCGCAGCAAGUCUGAUGUGAAAGGCAGGGGCUUAACCCCUGGACUGCAUUGGAAACUGCUGUGCUUGAGUGCCGGAGGGGUAAGCGGAAUUCCUAGUGUAGCGGUGAAAUGCGUAGAUAUUAGGAGGAACACCAGUGGCGAAGGCGGAUUGCUGGACGAUAACUGACGGUGAGGCGCGAAAGUGUGGGGAGCAAACAGGAUUAGAUACCCUGGUAGUCCACACUGUAAACGAUGAAUGCUAGGUGUAGGGGGUAUCGACCCCUUCUGUGCCGCAGUCAACACAAUAAGCAUUCCGCCUGGGGAGUACGGCCGCAAGGUUGAAACUCAAAGGAAUUGACGGGGGCCCGCACAAGCAGCGGAGCAUGUGGUUUAAUUCGACGCAACGCGAAGAACCUUACCAGGUCUUGACAUCCAACUAACGAAGUAGAGAUACAUUAGGUGCCCUUCGGGGAAAGUUGAGACAGGUGGUGCAUGGUUGUCGUCAGCUCGUGUCGUGAGAUGUUGGGUUAAGUCCCGCAACGAGCGCAACCCUUAUCUUCAGUUACUAACGCGUGAAGGUGAGGACUCUGAAGAGACUGCCGGGGACAACUCGGAGGAAGGUGGGGACGACGUCAAAUCAUCAUGCCCCUUAUGACCUGGGCUACACACGUACUACAAUGGCCGUUAACAGAGGGAAGCAACACCGCGAGGUAGAGCAAAACCCUAAAAACGGUCCCAGUUCAGAUUGUAGGCUGCAACUCGCCUAUAUGAAGUUGGAAUUGCUAGUAAUCGCGGAUCAGCAUGCCGCGGUGAAUACGUUCCCGGGCCUUGUACACACCGCCCGUCACACCAUGGGAGUUGGGAGUGCCCAAAGCCGGUGAGGCAACCGCAAGGAGCCAGCCGUCUAAGGCAAGACCAAUGACUGGGGUGAAGUCGUAACAAGGUAGCCGUAUCGGAAGGUGCGGCUG
rnacentral:rRNA from 1 species